AGCGAACGCUGGCGGCAGGCCUAACACAUGCAAGUCGAACGAACCUUUCGGGGUUAGUGGCGGACGGGUGAGUAACACGUGGGAACGUGCCUUUAGGUUCGGAAUAACUCAGGGAAACUUGUGCUAAUACCGAACGUGCCCUUCGGGGGAAAGAUUAAUCGCCUUUAGAGCGGCCCGCGUCUGAUUAGCUAGUUGGUUGAGGUAAUGGCUCACCAAGGCGACGAUCAGUAGCUGGUCUGAGAGGAUGUUCAGCCACAUUGGGACUGAGACACGGCCCAAACUCCUACGGGAGGCAGCAGUGGGGGAUCUUGCGCAAUGGGCGAAAGCCUGACGCAGCCAUGCCGCGUGAAUGAUGAAGGUCUUAGGAUUGUAAAAUUCUUUCACCGGGGACGAUAAUGACGGUACCCGGAGAAGAAGCCCCGGCUAACUUCGUG
rnacentral:rRNA from 1 species